UUCGCAAUGCCCGAAAGGGUGACGAAGCGACGCCGCGUGCGGGAAGAAGGCCUUCGGGUUGUAAACCGCUGUCGGGAGUUAGGAAAUGCAAGGAUGUUAAUAGCGUCCUUGCUUGACUAAGGCUCCGGAGGAAGCCACGGCUAACUCUGUGCCAGCAGCCGCGGUAAUACAGAGGCGGCAAGCGUUGUUCGGAAUUAUUGGGCGUAAAGAGCACGUAGGCGGCUGUGUAAGUCGGUUGUGAAAGCCUUCCGCUUAACGGAAGAACGGCAUCCGAUACUGCAUAGCUUGAGUGCGGGAGGGGAGAGUGGAACUUCUGGUGGAGCGGUGAAAUGCGUAGAUAUCAGAAGGAACACCGGCGGCGAAGGCGACUCUCUGGUCCGUAACUGACGCUGAGUGUGCGAAAGCUAGGGGAGCAAACGGGAUUAAAUACCCCGGUAGUCCUAGCCGUAAACGAUGGGCACUAAGUAGAGGGGUUUU
rnacentral:rRNA from 1 species